UACGAAGGGGGCUAGCGUUGCUCGGAAUCACUGGGCGUAAAGGGUGCGUAGGCGGGUCUUUAAGUCAGGGGGGAAAUCCUGGAGCUCAACUCCAGAACUGCCUUUGAUACUGAAGAUCUUGAGUUCGGGAGAGGUGAGUGGAACUGCGAGUGUAGAGGUGAAAUUCGUAGAUAUUCGCAAGAACACCAGUGGCGGAGGCGGCUCACUGGCCCGAUACUGACGCUGAGGCACGAAAGCGUGGGGAGCAAACAGG
rnacentral:rRNA from 1 species